rnacentral:rRNA from 1 species
GACGUAGGGCGCGAGCGUUGUUCGGAUUUACUGGGCGUAAAGGGCGCGCAGGCGGCUCAUUUUGUCAGGCGUGAAAGCCCCGGGCUUAACCUGGGAACUGCGUUUGAUACGGAUGGGCUAGAGUUCGGGAGAGGAGAGUGGAAUUCCCAGUGUAGAGGUGAAAUUCGUAGAUAUUGGGAAGAACACCGGUGGCGAAGGCGGCUCUCUGGACCGAUACUGACGCUGAGGCGCGAAAGCGUGGGGAGCAAACAGG